CUCAGAAGGCAGCGCUCUCAGGGCACCUCCACCAUGGCCUGGGCUCUGCUCCUCCUCAGCCUCCUCUCUCAGGGCACAGGGUCCUGGGCCCAGGCUCCCCUCACUCAGCCGCCCUCAGUGUCUGGGACUCCAGGGACGUCAGUCACCAUCUCCUGUGCUGGGAGCAGCAAUGACAUUGGGAGGUAUAAUGAGGUCUCCUGGUACCAACAGCGCCCGGGCACGGCCCCUAAACUCCUGAUUUAUAGGGUCAGCACCCGGCCCUCGGGGAUCCCUGAGCGCUUCUCUGGCUCCAAGUCUGGCAACACGGCCACCCUGACCAUCUCUGGGCUGCAGGCCGAGGACGAGGCCGAUUAUCACUGCUGCUCAUAUGCAGGCAGUGGCACUCUCCACAGUGGUCCUGUGGCCUCUUCAGUAGUGACUCAGCCCCCAGCAGUGUCUGUGGCCCCGGGACAGAUGGCCCGGAUCACCUGCCAGGGAGAUCUCAUAGAAAAAGCUUAUCCUGUAUGGCUCCAGCAGAAGCCCGGCCAGGCCCCGGUGGUGGUCAUGUAUGAUAACAACAACCGACCCUCAGGGAUCCCUGAGCGAUUCUCUAGCUCUGACUCAGGGGACACCAACACCCUGAUCAUCAGCGGGGCCCAGGCCCAGGACGAGGCCGACUAUUACUGUGCGAGGGACCCCCUGGAGGAGGGUCUCCCGUCAGAGCGCUUCAGCGGCCCCAGAGAGCAAACCAGCGUCCAGCGGGCGGAGCACUGA